rnacentral:rRNA from 1 species
GAAUAUUGGACAAUGGGGGAAACCCUGAUCCAGCAAUGCCGCGUGUGUGAAGAAGGCCUGCGGGUUGUAAAGCACUUUUAGUAGAGACGAAAAUUUGCGGGCUAAUAACCCGCGAACUUGACUUAACCUACAGAAAAAGCACCGGCUAACUCCGUGCCAGCAGCCGCGGUAAUACGGAGGGUGCGAGCGUUAAUCGGAAUUACUGGGCGUAAAGCGUACGUAGGCGGCUUUGUAAGUCGGUUGUGAAAUCCCCGGGCUUAACCUGGGAAUUGCAGUCGAUACUGCAUGGCUAGAGUAUGGUAGAGGGUAGUGGAAUUCCGGGUGUAGCGGUGAAAUGCGUAGAUAUCCGGAGGAACAUCAGUGGCGAAGGCGGCUAUCUGGACCAAUACUGACGCUGAGGUACGAAAGCGUGGGGAGCAAACAGG